rnacentral:lncRNA from 1 species
CACGCUUCCCCAAAGUGGCGCGCACUACUCCAGCGUGGGAAGGAAAGGACACAAACUUGGCCAUGUGCCAGAACACUUGGGGACGCCUGACUUUGGAGUCCCCUCAUUCCCCCAGGGAUCUGAAACGUACUCCCCACUUCCUAAGAGUCCAUGAGGCUCAGGUCCAAGGCCUGGGAAGAGUGGGAGAGUGUGGGCUGGCCUGGUAUGGGACACCCAGCCACGUUCCCCUCGCGGGGAAGGCGCGGAACAGUUGUCUUGCAAAGUUUCUCCCCCAUCACCACCACCAUCCGAGGAAGGGCGGCUCUUCCGGAGGUGAGGGCGGGGAAAAGGCCUCGGAGCCGGGAGUGGUGCAAGUUCCUGAAGCUGAGACCCGGGCGCGCCAAAGGGGCCUGGGCCACCAGCGCUUUCGUAAUCCCAGACUGCUGCACCUCACUUCGCUGCAAUGUCUGAUCGGAGUCGAGGCAGCGGGUGCUGCGCGGAGUCUGGGACGCUUGGAGACGCCAUUUGCAUCCCCCCUCCCUCCUGCAGGUUGGCGGGGGCGGGGGUGUCGCCCGCCGCGGAAGCGUAUUCCUGGCAGUGACACUGAUUAGAUACUGUGUCGGUACGUGCACAGAAUCGGGGUGGGCCUUCACCUCUCCUGUGCGCACACACUUUCUGUUGGAAAAAGUUGCGGGUUCCCCCCCCUCCUCCGCCCUCUCGCUGCACAGCUGCUGUCUCCAGGGCGGAAUUAGGCGGGCACGUUUGCUCAGCCGGAGGGAGAGAGGAUCGCGCCGGCGCGGGGAGGCCGCCGGGCCCAGGCCGCGAAAAUCCAGCCCUGGCUUUGCGUCGAGCUGCUGAGUGCGGCGCUUACGCGCGCCCGGCCAGCCGAGGCCUGGUUUCCAUCUGCCCCUUUUGCCUCCGUGUUAAGUGCGCCGGGGAAAACCCAACGAACCGUGCAGAACCCCUCGGAGGAGAGCCACCCCCCCCCCCAGCCUGAUCCUGACCGAUGGAAAAAAUGACAGUAUAGGUCAGAGCAGGCUGCCCGCGAGUAUUAAUGCGG